rnacentral:misc_RNA from 1 species
GAUGAAGAACGUAGCGAAAUGCGAUACGUAAUGUGAAUUGCAGAAUUCAGUGAAUCAUCGAAUCUUUGAACGCAUAUUGCGCUCUCUGGUAUUCCGGAGAGCAUGCUUGUUUGAGUAUCAGUAAACACCUCAACUUCCAUAUCUUUUUUGAAAUGGGAGUUGGACUUGAGUGAUCCCAACGCUUUUCCUCACCGAAAAGUGGCGGGUUACUUGAAAUGCAGGUGCAGCUGGACUUUUCUCUGAGCUAUAAGCAUAUCUAUUUAGUCCGCCUAAAAAACAGAUUAUUACCUUUGCUGCAGCUAACAUAAAGGAGAUUAGUUCUUGUGCUGACUGAUGCAGGAUUCACAAAGACAGGCUUCGGCCGACUUUGUAAACUCGAUCUCAAAUCAAGUAAGACUACCCGCUGAACUUAAGCAUAUCAAUAAGCGGAGGA